UAACCAGCUGUUUUUGGACUGCAGUUCCCGUCAUCCCUGACCACUGGUCCUGCUAACUAGGGAUGAUGGGAGUUGUAGUCCAAAAACAGCGGGAAA
rnacentral:miRNA from 1 species